rnacentral:rRNA from 1 species
CUACGGGGGGCAGCAGUGGGGAAUAUUGCACAAUGGGCGCAAGCCUGAUGCAGCCAUGCCGCGUGUAUGAAGAAGGCCUUCGGGUUGUAAAGUACUUUCAGCGGGGAGGAAGGGAGUAAAGUUAAUACCUUUGCUCAUUGACGUUACCCGCAGAAGAAGCACCGGCUAACUCCGUGCCAGCAGCCGCGGUAAUACGGAGGGUGCAAGCGGUAAUCGGAAUUACUGGGCGUAAAGCGCACGCAGGCGGUUUGUUAAGUCAGAUGUGAAAUCCCCGGGCUCAACCUGGGAACUGCAUCUGAUACUGGCAAGCUUGAGUCUCAUAGAGGGGGGUAGAAUUACAGGUGUAGCGGUGAAAUGCGUAGAGAUCUGGAGGAAUACCGGUGGCGAAGGCGGCCCCCUGGACGAAGACUGACGCUCAGGUGCGAAAGCGUGGGGAGCAAACAGGAUUAGAUACCCCCGUAGUC